ACUGGCACCGGAGGAGGAUGCUGGGCAGCAUCUGGGAUCGCCCCUGGAAUGGUGUGUUUGUAGGAAACAGGUUGUAAGCACCAAAAUGCUCCCUGUGCAGAUACAACAGGGUUUGUUUGAUCACCAGCCAGAGACAAGCUCCUCUUGCAAGAGCAGUGAUUGUCCCCGCACGGUGCAGCCCCGUCUCGCCCCAGUGCGUGGCUGGCACGGGAAGGAGUUAACUGCUGCCCCCUGCCCUCCCCGCUCAGGUGCGCUGAGUUGUGAGGGCAGAGCCUGCAAAAGGCACUGGGGCAGCAUCCCAAUUCCAAGUUAGUGGCAUGUGUGAGAGCUGGGGAUGGAGCAUGAGAAGAAGCAAGGGUACGCUGUGUUGUGAGGCCGAACCUCCCCAGGGCAGCAGGGGAAGCAUCUCUGCUGGUGCUGGAGGAAGCCGGAGAGCACGGGGGACUCUGGGUCCUUAAAGCUAGCUCUGACUACAUAAAUGACUUCACAGUCAGAUCAGCUCCCUGUGUGCCACCAGGGAUUGUGCCGAGAUGGAGAACACGGCUCCCUUGCAGCACCACGGAUCCCCUCUCUGGAUGGAAGAGAAGCUUGAGCCCACGUAAUCUGCUCUCAGGGGUGCACUCAGGAUUCAGCACUCCCGUUUUAAGGAGACAACAUGGCAAAACAAGGGUUAUUUGGAGGGGGCUCUUUCUUGCCAGGUGUUAAAAUACUGACAACUCCUGUCAAAGGAUCCUUUCAUGUAGACAUUCCCGGGCAGUCCUCAACAUGCCUGGGAAAUAAAACUGCUCUGGAGGAGCAGAGGUGCAUUAUGGCAAGCUCUUUGGUAACAAAUUCUCUCAUUAUACCAUGUUAUGACAUGGAUAAAUCUCUGUUAAAUAGCACAGCGAUUGCCCCGCAGGGAGAAAGGCUGCCGCUCAACACAGGCAUGCCUCCGCUGAUAACCUUAUCAUGUCUUAACAGCUCCAGGAUUGCCUUCAAAGAUCCUUCAACAAUAACAAACUAUUCUUUUAAGGAACUCCGUGCUGAUAACUCUGGGCAAGAAGGAUCAGGGCUGCAUCCCGUGAGCCUGUGCCCGCAGCGCAGGCUGAGCGCGGCAGCACGUGGGCCCCCUGCACACUCUGCAGCUGCUGCUGGAGCAAAGUGCUCCCCAUCCUGCAGCCCCAGCUUGUUCAUGGCCACCAUGGGAACAAGCAUUACAUUUCAUUGUGUGUUUACAGGCCUGAGUCUCUAUAUCCCCAGCUGUAUUUUCAGCCAAGAAGAGCAAUGUGCGCUCUCCCUAAGGGACAGCAAAAUGCACGUCCUGUUCAGGCUCCAAGCAGAGUGGCAAACAGGUGCCUCUGCUCCUCUCUGGUAAUCUAUAGUUGCUAAUCUGUCACCAAUAAUCUAGCACAGAUGAUUUAUGUGCAGGCUUGUGCUCUGUCAUGGCUUUGAGUCGCUGAUGCUUCCUGAGCUGCAGCUGAAGUGUGUGUACCUGGCUUACAAAGAGCACAGAAAGGUGCUGAGCCUUCCUCAAGCACAAAACAGGGCGGUUGCAAAGUGAAAAGCAGAACCCAGGAGACCGAAAUACCAGCACUUCUUGCAUAGACUGGUGCCACCACCUCGACGCUUCAGUCUUCUUUUUGCCGUGGCCACUUCUCUGCCAUCUGGGCUAAGGGCAAGCCUCUGGCUGCUCACUCGUGUCCUGCCUGUUUGUUCACAGCUUUGCAAGUUGGCAGCAGCCGCGACUUCUGCUCUCGUCCAUGCGUAAAAAGCUCCUGUGCCUGUCCCAGGCCAGGCUGCACCCCCAGCAGCAGAGGUUCCUGCGCUGGUGUGGGAGCGUGCUGCAGAAACUCCUUGGCCCCCGUCCAGAGGAGCUGUCCCUGGUAUGUGGGAAGCGAGUGCGGCCGGGGCUGCGUCUGUAGAGCGGUGUUGGAACCUCGGCCGGGAGCAGCACCCCGGGACGCCUGAGUGCAGUCCCCAGCAUCAUCAGUGCUGGUGCAGCAAGGCUGAAAGAUGUCGAUCCUAAGACUUCUUCCACACCUACACAAGUUUGAGUUUGUUCUGCCUCUGGGUACCUCCUUCCUGUACCUCCAGUUCCCGGUCUGUGCUUCAGACCAUUGAUGUUGUUCUCCCAGUUCUUAUUGUCACCUCUGUGCGCAGACAGACGUCGGACUGCCUGUUACCGUACGUCUGCGGAGCACAACAGGUUCACCUCAGUGUGGCUUGUGGCUGACAGCACAUUACUAACAGCAAACAGGAGCAGCCUGCCCUAUGCUUCCAUAAGCCUGCAGAAUGUACGUGCCUGCUUUCUUCCUACAGACACGGGGCUCCCAGUGUCCGCGUACCCUUGUUUGCUGCAGGGAAAAUACAACGGCACCUUUUGCUGCUCCUUCUCUGCCACGGUAAUGUCUUGUAGCGCAAGUCCAGAGCAAUAAGAAUAAACAGAAAAGCAAAAUUAUUUAAAUACCAGCAGUUUAUCAGCAUGAACCUCUGUUUUUCUAGGGACUUGCUAACCCAAAGGGUCCCUGGAUGGGACUUAUUUCACCACUGUGUUUGAAACGCAGCUACUUCUUGGGUGGGACUGAGAGCCUGCUGUAUCCACGCUAAACACAAUGAGACACAAACACGCCGGAGUGAUGAAGCCCCGUGGUGUAAUCGGCCCCUCUGCAGACUCAGUUCUCCUUUGCAGCGGUUAUCUCAGUACCAUUGCCACUGCAUCCAAGGAAAUGUUUUGUGCACUACAGGGUUCAAGUGACCUCAUGCCCCACAGAAAUUCAGGGAGAUGAAUGCGGUGGCAGCUGUGAAAGAGCACCGAAUUGAGUCUUCAGAUUCCUGUCCAUUCACCCCCUGCAAACAGCCCAGACCCGCUCCGGAAGAGGCCAGUGCCCUGCUUGGACCUGCAGCUACCGUGCAGGACAUGAGAUGGGAGAGGUGUAUUUUCUCCGUGUAUGCCAAGAGCCUCGCUCAAGAAAUAGCCUGAACCUUCUGCGUGGAGAGACCUAGCAGAGAAGUCCAUCUGCUGCACUCCUCCCAAGGGCAGCAGAACCGCUAGGAGGAUGUGUCCCAACAGAUUCGGAGCUGAUAAAAUCUUAUUUAUCUUCAACUGUUGACACCGAAGCGUCUAGACUUGCCUGCUUCGGGAGGGCUGCAGCCAAGUCCUUCUUUCUCUCUUGAAGGAAAUGAUUUGCUCAACAAUUGCUUUUUUCCACAAAUCCUCCCCCCUCCUCCCUACCAGCCUUCUCCUCCUCCUCCUUUACAUUCCAGUCUCCUCAUUAG